rnacentral:rRNA from 1 species
AUUGAACGCUGGCGGCAGGCUUAACACCUGCAAGUCUAGCGAGAGGCGGAAGGGUGAGUACUGUCUGCGAAACUGCCUGAUGGCGGGGGAUAACUACUGGAAACGGUAGCUACUACCGCCAAACAUCCAAUGUGCCCCGAUGGGAUUAGCUAGUAGGUGGGGUAAUGGCUCACCUAGGCGACGAUCCCUAGCUGGUCUGAGAGGAUGACCAGCCACACUGGAACGGAGACACAGUCCAGACUCCUACGGGAGGGAGCAGUGGGGAAGAUUGCACAAUGGGCGCAAGCCUGAUGCAGCCAUGACGCGUGUGUGAAGAAGGCCGUCGGGUUGUAAAGCACUGUCAGCGAGGAGGCGUUACUCGCAGAAGAAGCACGGGCUAACUCCGGGGCAGCAGCCGCGGUAAUUC